UACGUAGGGUGCAAGCGUUGUCCGGAAUUAUUGGGCGUAAAGAGCUCGUAGGCGGUCUGUCGCGUCUGCUGUGAAAACUCGGGGCUUAACCCCGGGCCUGCAGUGGGUACGGGCAGACUAGAGUGCGGUAGGGGAGACUGGAAUUCCUGGUGUAGCGGUGAAAUGCGCAAAUAUCAGGAGGAACACCGGUGGCGAAGGCGGCGUCCUGGACCAACACUGACACUGAUGAGCGAAAGCCAGGGGAGCAAACGGG
rnacentral:rRNA from 1 species